AAAUAGGUUGAAUAAAAAUCAAAUAAAAAUUAGGGUUUUGCUGUUGACAAAUCAAGAUGCUCUCAAGUGUCCUUAUAAACCUUUCAAGCUGGUAACUGAAGCUUCUUGUUGUUUUUCCAGCUCUCAAAGUAAUAAUAGAAAAAGUCAGCAUAAAGCAGUGUCUGCACAAGCCCAGAUAUCCAAGUUAUCCAAUGGAUAUAGUGUGGCUCAGUGAAGUAGCGAUAAAUCCAGUUGAGAAUGUAUAGAGCUCGGUAUGCACCAAGAAGGAAAACAUAUUGCCCUGUCAAGUUGUCGAUAUUUCUAGUUCUUUGCAACAGCACAAGCUGAGGAAGUAUCGCAACAGCCUCCAAAUAUAUGGAAAAUGCCCACAUAACCUCCUUAAACGUGAACCUCUCAUUAGCAAUAAGGGCCAAGAAUAAGCAAGGCAGUAUAAGGAAAUAAUGGCGGAAGGUGUCCUGAGCUUUAUCAUAGGACCUAUUGACAAUCUUGUGGUUCCUCAUAUACCAAACAAUCGAAAAUGAACUUAUUAAAAAUAUUAGCUUCAUAGUAGUAUUAUAGAGGGAUAUGAAAUCCGUAAAUAUAUCCAAGUAGCGAGUAGCAAAAACAAUAGUAUAGAGUUCUUGAGUCUUCAAAGAAAUGCCAGCGCAGGAUUUGAU
rnacentral:misc_RNA from 1 species